rnacentral:rRNA from 1 species
UACGUAGGGUGCGAGCGUUGUCCGGAAUUAUUGGGCGUAAAGGGCUCGUAGGCGGUUUGUCGCGUCGGGAGUGAAAUCCACUGGCUUAACUGGUGGCUUGCUUUCGAUACGGGCAGACUGGAGGUAUGCAGGGGAGAACGGAAUUCCUGGUGUAGCGGUGAAAUGCGCAGAUAUCAGGAGGAACACCCGUGGCGAAGGCGACUCUCUGGGACGGUACUGACGCUGAGACGCGAAAGCGUGGGGAGCGAACAGG